rnacentral:rRNA from 1 species
AGUGAACGCUGGCGGUAGGCCUAACACAUGCAAAUCGAACGGCAGCACAGUAAGAGCUUGCUCUUACGGGUGGCGAGUGGCGGACGGGUGAGGAAUACAUCGGAAUCUACUUUUUCGUGGGGGAUAACGUAGGGAAACUUACGCUAAUACCGCAUACGACCUACGGGUGAAAGCAGGGGAUCUUCGGACCUUGCGCGAUUGAAUGAGCCGAUGUCGGAUUAGCUAGUUGGCGGGGUAAAGGCCCACCAAGGCGACGAUCCGUAGCUGGUCUGAGAGGAUGAUCAGCCACACUGGAACUGAGACACGGUCCAGACUCCUACGGGAGGCAGCAGUGGGGAAUAUUGGACAAUGGGCGCAAGCCUGAUCCAGCCAUACCGCGUGGGUGAAGAAGGCCUUCGGGUUGUAAAGCCCUUUCGUUGGGAAAGAAAAGCAGCAGGUUAAUACCCCGCUGUUCUGACGGUACCCAAAGAAUAAGCACCGGCUAACUUCGUG